AUGGCUCAGCCACAGAAUGCCAUUUCUAUAUGGACAUGGAAAAGAGUCAAAUAUCUCACAAAGACAACUGAAGCACAAGGACUUUGGAUGAUUGAUACACUCAACAAGAAAGCAAGUGCAAGCAUCACCAUGGCCUUGGAGUCCACAGAGCUAUGGACUCAGCCUCAUGCAGCUGACAUACCAAAUCCUGCAGUGAGGAAAUUGAGCUUUCUCAAAGACAUUGAAGCAAAGCCUGGGGCAUUGCAUUUCCAGAACAAAGCAGAAACCCAUAUAGAAGAAAAUGUGACCAAUAACUAUCCUGAAAUAAUAUGGCCACACAAACACCAGAUGAGAUGACAUGGUUUGAGGAGUUCCUUCUAAUUUGGAAUGAACUUCAAAUGAUCUAAUUUUUUAAUUGGUAAAGCCCUCACAAUAGAAGAAAAACCUAGAGGGUCCCAUCUCUGAGUACUGCUUAUAGAAAAACUUUCAAGUGACCCCCAAAAUAACAAUGAGAUUUCAGAAAUACCAUUCUCAAAAGAACAAAACUCUGACAGCCAAAGCAGGACUCAUUGGUCAACAAUCACAGAGGAGUCCUGAUGGACAGAUGACCCUGAAACCCUGCAGUUGCCCUAGAAAUGAUGAUUCAUCCAUUCAAACCCUGGACAACAACAGAUGUUUCAACUAUGUGAUGAACGGAUACAGCUCAGUGUUUCCCAUAUAUAAUCAACUAUUAAUAUUAACAAAUCAAUUGUUGAUCAGUGAAAAGAUCAACAUUUGUGGAGAUCUUAAGAUUAAGGUACUUAGUCACUUUACUUAGACCAAUAAACCAAUUUAUCUAUUUAUGACUUAGUUUUAAAGACAAAAUUGGAAUCAAUUUGGUGUGAGAGAUAAGCAUAUAUCACUAAAAAUAAAAAUAAAUGGAAAUAUCACCAAAGAAACAAAAAACAAUGACAACAUGACUCCUACCUGGGAAAAUAGUUAUGAGCGUCCCUUGAUAGCACUAACCAAACUUCUCUGAAAUUAAGUUAAUUCAAGUAGAAAUGAUUUUGAUUCCAUUAAAAAGGUUGAUUCCACCAAUUCAAAUUAAAGAGACUUUCCUUAGUUAUAGUCUUUAUUCCAGGUGCUUAAAUUGUAGCAAUGAAAGCUGUAGUCCAUGCCAUCUUGGACCUUCCCCAUAAAAAGUAUUCUUUGUCUAUACAGUCAUGAUUUUAGCUAUAAUAUCUGUUGGCUUUCUAGGAUUUAUUGUCUG
rnacentral:lncRNA from 1 species